rnacentral:lncRNA from 1 species
GGGUUUAGGCGGGCCACGUAAGGUACCCCUUAACCCUUACGCGGGCCGCGACAAGGUAAAAGGUGGUGAAACCCUGGGCCGCCACGUGGCCCAACACCCAGCAAACCUACUCGAUGACCCAGCUCAGCUAUGCGUUGACUAGAGUUGACGCGGGCCGCGUAAGGCCUUGCCUUGUUUUACGCGGGCCACGAGAAAACCCAGGUAACUUAGUGUGAAGCCAAUAAAAGCCAGCUGGAA